CCUACGGGAGGCUGCAGUGGGGAAUAUUGCACAAUGGGGGAAACCCUGAUGCAGCGACGCCGCGUGAGUGAAGAAGUAUUUCGGUAUGUAAAGCUCUAUCAGCAGGGAAGAAAAAAGCCGGUCCCUGCCUAAAAACCCCCGGCUAACUAGGUGCCAGAACCCGCGGUAAUCCGUAGGGGCCAGGCGUUAUCCGGAUUUAUUGGGGGUAAAGGUGGCGUAGCCGGCGCGGCAAGUGUGAGUUGAAUUGCAGGGGCUUAACCCCGGAACUGCUUUGGAAACUGUCAUGCUAGAGUGCGGUAGAGGUAAGUGGAAUGCCUGGUGUAGCGGUGAAAUGCGUAGAGAUUAGGAAGAACACCAGUGGCGAAGGCGGCUUACCGGACAGUAACUGACGUUGAGGCACGAAAGCGUGGGGAGCAAACAGGAUUAGAUACCCUUGUAGUC
rnacentral:rRNA from 1 species